rnacentral:tRNA from 1 species
CAAUAGCUCAGUUGGUAGAGCAUCUCAUUCGUAAUGAGAGGGUCGCAGGUUCGAGUCCCAUCAUCA